rnacentral:rRNA from 1 species
GCGGUGGAUGAUGUGGAUUAAUUCGAUGCAACGCGAAAACCUUACCUACCCUUGACAUGUCCGGAAUCCCGAAGAGAUUUGGGAGUGCUCGCAAGAGAACCGGAACACAGGUGCUGCAUGGCUGUCGUCAGCUCGUGUCGUGAGAUGUUGGGUUAAAGUCCCCGCAACGAGCGCAACCCUUGUCAUUAGUUGCCAUCAUUUGGUUGGGCACUCUAAUGAGACUGCCGGUGACAAACCGGAGGAAGGUGGGGAUGACGUCAAGUCCUCAUGGCCCUUAUGGGUAGGGCUUCACACGUCAUACAAUGGCUGGUACAAAGGGUUGCCAACCCGCGAGGGGGAGCUAAUCCCACAAAGCCAGUCGUAGUCCGGAUCGUAGUCUGCAACUCGACUACGUGAAGUCGGAAUCGCUAGUAAUCGUGGAUCAGAAUGUCACGGUGAAUACGUUCCCGGGUCUU